rnacentral:rRNA from 1 species
GCCGCACAGCUAGCUUAAACACCAAAACCACUACCACAAUAUUAAAAAUCUUUAUAUAACCCCAUUAACACAAACUAAAACAUUUUACCGCCCAAGUAUGUGAGACAAAAAAGGCACCCCCACAAAGCCAAAGAAAAAGUACCGCAAGGGAACGCUGAAAGAGAAAUGAAAUAAAUCAUUAAAGCACAACAAAGCAGAGAUUAACCCUCGUACCUUUUGCAUCAUGAUUUAGCCAGUCCCCCUGAGCAAAGCGUACUUUAGUUCAGCCCCCCGAAACUAAGUGAGCUACUCCGAGACCGCCUAUUAAUUUAGGGCAAACCCGUCUCUGUGGCAAAAGAGUGGGAAGAUCUCCGAGUAGAGGUGACAGAUCUACCGAACUUAGUUAUAGCUGGUUGCCUAAGAAAUGAAUAGAAGUUCAGCCUUGCACUCCUUAUAUCACAAUCUUUUUAAGACCUACGAAUAAAAGAAACAUGCAAGAGUUAGUCAAAGGGGGUACAGCCCCUCUGAAACAGAACACAAUCUAACCAGGAGGUUAAAGAUUACAUUAAUUAAGAUAACUGCUCCAGUGGGCCUAAAAGCAGCCACCUGCACAGAAAGCGUUAAAGCUCCGGCAGAACAAAAUUUAUUAUUCAAAUAUUACAUCUAAAACCCCUAGCCUUAUUAGGUCACUCCAUGCCAACAUGGAAGAGAUACUGCUAAAAUGAGUAAUAAGAAAGAACUACUUUCUCCUAGCCUACGUGUACGCUAGACCGGACUAACCACUAGCAAUUAUCGAACCCAACCAAAGAGGGAAAUAUGGUUUUACCAAACAACAAGAAAUACCCCUACAAUUCAAUCGUUACCCCCACACCGGAAGGCGAAAUAGGAAAGAUUAAAAGAAGAGGAAGGAACUCGGCAAAUACAAGCCUCGCCUGUUUACCAAAAACAUCGCCUCCUGCAAAAUCAACGUAUAGGAGGUCUUACCUGCCCAGUGACAAGUUAAACGGCCGCGGUAUUUUGACCGUGCGAAGGUAGCGCAAUCACUUGUCUUUUAAAUGAAGACCUGUAUGAAUGGUGGAACGAGGGCUUAACUGUCUCCCCCUUCAAAUCAAUGAAAUUGAUCUACCCGUGCAGAAGCGGUAAAUAUGCAGAGCGGGUAUACUAAUAUAAGACGAGAAGACCCUUUGGAGCUUAAGAUGUUAGAUCAACUAUGUCAAGAAUUAUAAAACAUUAAACUAAGUAGCAACUGAUCCCUAUCUUCGGUUGGGGCGACCACGGGAAAAAAUAAAACUCCCAUGCGGACUGGGGCAACCCCUAAAACUAUGAAAGACAUUUCUAAGUCACAGAAUAUCUGACCACUAAGAUCCGGCAAUACUGCCGAUUAACGAACCAAGUUACCCUAGGGAUAACAGCGCAAUCCCCUUUCAGAGUCCAUAUCGACAAGGGGGUUUACGACCUCGAUGUUGGAUCAGGACAUCCUAAUGGUGCAGCCGCUAUUAAGGGUUCGUUUGUUCAACGAUUAAAGUCCUACGUGAUCUGAGUUCAGACCGGAGCAAUCCAGGUCAGUUUCUAUCUAUAAUGCUAUUUUUCCUAGUACGAAAGGACCGGAGAAAGGGGGCCUAUAUUAUAAACACGCCCCACCCCUACUUAAUGAAACCAACUAAAUUAAACAAAGGGAGAGCAAAACUCAAUAAAUCAAGAUAAGAUU